rnacentral:rRNA from 1 species
GAUGAACGCUGGCGGCGUGCCUAAUACAUGCAAGUCGAGCGCAGCGGGGACGGGGGAGUAACACGUAGAUAACCUCCUCUAAGCCUGGGAUAACUUCGGGAAACAGACGCUAAACCGGAUACUUAUAGAUGGCUCCUCGCUGCAUUAGCUAGUUGGUAAGGUAACGGCUUACAAAGGCAACGAUGCAUCGCCGACCGCAGAGGGUGGUCGGCCACACUGGAACGGAGACACGGUCCAGACUCCUACGGGAGGCAGCAGUAGGGAAUCUUCCGCAAUGGGCGAAAGCCUGACGGGGCAACCCCGCGGGAGUGAUGAGGGUCUUCGGAUCGUAAAACUCUGGUAUUAGGGAAGCGGUACCGAAUCAGAAAGCCACGGCUAACUACGUGCCAGGAGCCGCGGUAAUUC